rnacentral:rRNA from 1 species
AUCAGGUCUUCUUGGAGUCAGGUUGCUUGGGAAUGCAUCCCAAAGCAUGUGGUAAACUCCAUCUAAGGCUAAAUAUUGGCACGAGAAGGGUGGCUAAUGGGCACGAGACGGAUGACUAACAAGUACCGUAAGGGAAAGUUGAAAAGAACUUUGAAGAUAUAGUUCAAGACUGGUUGGGUCUGUUAAGUCCGCCUGCAGGAUUCAACACGGCAGGCAGGUCGCUCGCCUGGAAUAGUGGAUGCCCUUGCAGGACUGCGGCCCGGGCAUACACCGCGACUGGCUGGGAAGGCCCGAGGGGGCAGGUGGCUCUCUGCUCUGGCAGCAAGUGUUACAGCCCCUGACAGCAGUUUUGCUGUGUCCGAGGAGCCGAGGGAGAUUGACCACUACCGUGCCCUUCUCUGGCAACCGUCCUGCCCCUUUGAGGGUCGCCGGGGCAGCGACAGGAGACAGGGCUCCCAAUGCGACUGUGGUGGACUGCCCUGAGUGUGCCCCGACCACGUCUUGCAGCUGGGUGGGGAGGCCCACAAAGGGCUCCAGGUGUCUGAGGUGAUGUCAGUUAACCACCCGACCUGUCUUGCAACACGGGGCAAGGAGUCUCAACACGUGCGCGAGUCGGAGGGCCGAAUGAAACUCUGUGGUGCAAAGAAGUUGAGGGCUGGCGCGUGCCGAUUGCAGUGGGGUCCUGUUGCGGAGGGCGCACCACGGACCCAUCUCGCCCACUCUGUAAGGGAGAUGGAGCAUGAGCGUGUGUGAAAGGACCGGAAAGAUGGUGAAUUAGGCCUGGUGGAGGUCCGUAGCGGUCCUGAUGUGUAAAUCGGUCAUCCGACCUGGAUAUAGGGGCGAAAUAUUAAUCGAACGAUCUAGUAGCUGGCUCCGUCCGGAGUUUCCUUCAGGAUAGCUGGCACACGGAAACCAAAGUUUUAUCUGAUAAAGCGAAUGAUUAGAGGUCUUGGGACCAAAAUGAUCUCAACCUUGAAAUGGGUAAGAAGCCCAGCUUGCUGGCAUGGAGCCAGGCAUUGAAUGCAAGUGCCCAGUGGGCAACUUUUGUUAAGCAGAACUGGUGCUGCGGGAUGAACCGAAUGCCAGGUGAAGGUGCCCGAUGCUGAUGCUCAUCAGACCCCAUAAAAGGUGUUGGUGAUAUAGACAGCAGGACGGUGGCCAUGGAAGUCGGAAUCAGCUAAGGAGCCCCGGGAGAGUUCUCUUUUCUUUGUGAAAGGCAGGGCACCCUGGAAUGGGUUCGCCCCGAGAGAGGGCCCCGAGCCUUGGAAAGCGUUGAGGUUCUGGCAGCGUGCAGUGAGCUCUUGCUGAUCUUUGAAAAUCCGUGGAGAUGGUGUAAAUCUCGUGCCGGGCGUACCAUAUCCGCAGCAGGUCUCCAAGGUGAACAGCCUCUGGCAUGUUGGAACAAUGUAGGUAAGGAAGUCCGCAAGUCAGAUCCGUAACUUCGGGAUAAGGAUUGGCUCUAAGAGCUGGGUCGGUUGGGCUGAGGCGCGAAGCUGGGCUGGGUGCGCGCCAUGGCUGGACGAGGCGUCUCACUCCCCCGGUGGUGGUGUCAAAUCUGAAUGGGAGCUGGGCCCUGCCUGUGGCUCACCUCAGCUGCGGUAGUCGUCUCUCUCCGUUCCCCUCCCGGUGUUCGGGGGCCGAUGUUCUGCCUUAGGCGACGCCUAGCAGCUGACUUAGAACUGGUGUGGACCAGGGGAAUCCGACUGUUCAAUUAAAACAAAGCAUCGCAGAGGCCUGCAGUCAGUGUUGAUGCGAUGUGAUUUCUGCCCAGUGCUCUGAAUGUCAAAGUGAAGAAAUUCAGUGAAGCGCUGGUAAACGGCAGGAGUAACUAUGACUCUCGGAAGGUAGCCAAAUGCCUCGUCAUCUAAUUAGUGACGCGCAUGAAUGGAUGAACGAUAUUCUCACUGUCCCUACCUAUUAUCUAGCAAAACCACAGCUAAGGGAACAGACUUGGCAGAAUCAGUGGAGAAAGAAGACCCAGUUGGACUUGCCUCUAGUUUGGCACUGUGAAGAGACGUGAGUUGUAGGAUAAGUGGGAGGCCCUCGGGCUGACAGUGAAAUACCACUAUUCUUAUUGUUUUUUCACUUACUUGGUGAGAUGGGGUGCAAGCCCCUUGGGGCUCUCACUUCUGGCUCCAUGCGCCCGGCGCCUGUGAGCCGCUCUGUUGAUAGUUGAAGGUGUGGAGUUUGAUUGGGGUGUUACAAUUGUCAAACGAUAACCUAGGUGUCCCGAGGCAAGCUCAGGGAGGACAGAAACCUCCUGCAGAGAAGAAGGGCAAAAGCUUGCUUGAUCUCGAUAUUUCAGUAUGAAUACAGAUCGUGAAAGUGGGGCCUCGCGAUCCUUCUGACUUUUUGGGUUUCAAGCAGGAGGUGUUAGAAAAGUUACCACAGGAUAACUGGCUUGUGGCGGCCAAGCUUUCACAGCGACGUCGCUUUUUGACCCUUCGAUGUUGGCUAUUCCUAUCAUUGUGAAGCAGAAUUAACCAAGCUUUGGAUUGGUCGCCCACUAAUAGGGAAUGUGAGGUGGGUUUAGACCGUCGUGAGACAGGUUAGUUUUACCCUACUGAUGAUGUGUUGUUGCAAUAGUAAUCCUGCUCAGUACAAGAGGAACCGCAGGUUCAGACAUUUGGUGUAUGUGCUUGGCGGAGGAGCCAACGGCGCGAAGCUACCAUCUGUGGGAUUAUGACCAAACUCCGCUAAGUCAGAAUCCCCCGUAACAAUACCGCAGCGCUGAUGAGCCUCGGUUUGGCCUAUGAUAGCCUGCCUCUGGACCGGUGCAUAGAGCCGCUUGCCUCGGGACUAGAGUGUGGACAGGAGUGUCCACCUCUCUUGCCCAUAGUGUACUGCAUAUUCG